CAAGUUAGAGCUUGCCAUAAAGCGUUUUAUUUACACUAAAAAGUUAAUUGUGAAAAUCAAUUUUACUUGA
rnacentral:tRNA from 1 species